rnacentral:lncRNA from 1 species
AGUCUGUUGAUGCCAAAGACUGCUUGGCUAUAGAACAUCCAGAAGUGACCAUUAUUACAGGAUAGCAGGCAAGGUUUGCAGGGAGAAAUCACAUGAUAACCGACAAUGUUACCACACUUCAAACACGCGAUGUUCUUCAGUUUGCACUUGCAGAUCUCAGUGAAAUAGCAGCUGCCGAUGAAGUCAAUGGUGCCCGAGGGCGGGAUGUCGGUGGAGUAGAGGUCGGUGUCGGUGUCGGCCAGCAGCACGGCCUUCAUCCCCCGCGAGCUCAGCACCUGUUGGCAGAAGCGGCAGCACAGCACGGUCACGCUCCGGUCUGCGAAAGUACAGCCGUUGCCCGACAUCGCGGGCGGCCGCCGCUGGGCCCCGCCGCUCCUGUCCGGG